rnacentral:rRNA from 1 species
UACGUAGGGUGCAAGCGUUAAUCGGAAUUACUGGGCGUAAAGCGUGCGUAGACGGUUAUUUAAGUCAGGUGUGAAAGCCCCGGGCUCAACCUGGGAAUUGCAUUUGAGACUGAAUAGCUAGGGUGCGGAAGAGGAAGCGGAAUUUCCGGUGUAGCGGUGAAAUGCGUAGAUAUCGGAAGGAACACCAGUGGCGAAAGCGGACUUCCUGUCCA